rnacentral:rRNA from 1 species
GGAGUGAAAGCAGACUGAUCAUGCAGUCGACGGCAGCACGGGUGCUUGCACCUGGUGGCGAGUGGCGAACGGGUGAGUAAUAUAUCGGAACGUACCUUGUAGUGGGGGAUAGCUCGGCGAAAGCCGGAUUAAUACCGCAUACGCUCUGAGGAGGAAAGCGGGGGACCUUCGGGCCUCGCGCUACAAGAGGCGGCCGCAAAUAUCCAGAUUUAAGCUUAGUUGGUGGGGGGGUAAAAAGGCUUACCCCAAGGCGGGACGAUUCUGUAAGGCUGGUCUUGGAGAGGGACGACCCAGCCCAACACUGGGGACUGGAGACACGGGCCCCAGACUUCCUACGGGAAGGCAGCCAGUGGGGAAUUUUUGGACCAAUGGGCGAAAAGCCUGAUCCCAGCAAUGCCGGCGUGUGUGAAGAAGGCCUUUCGGGUUGUAAAGCACUUUUGUCCGGAAAGAAAUCCUUCUGGGUUAAUACCUCGGGGGGGAUGACGGUACCGGAAGAAUAAGCACCGGCUAACUACGUGCCAGCAGCCGCGGUAAUACGUAGGGUGCAAGCGUUAAUCGGAAUUACUGGGCGUAAAGCGUGCGCAGGCGGUUUUGUAAGACGGAUGUGAAAUCCCCGGGCUCAACCUGGGAACUGCAUUCGUGACUGCAAGGCUAGAGUAUGGCAGAGGGGGGUAGAAUUCCACGUGUAGCAGUGAAAUGCGUAGAGAUGUGGAGGAAUACCGAUGGCGAAGGCAGCCCCCUGGGCCAAUACUGACGCUCAUGCACGAAAGCGUGGGGAGCAAACAGGAUUAGAUACCCUGGUAGUCCACGCCCUAAACGAUGUCAACUAGUUGUUGGGGAUUCAUUUCCUUAGUAACGUAGCUAACGCGUGAAGUUGACCGCCUGGGGAGUACGGUCGCAAGAUUAAAACUCAAAGGAAUUGACGGGGACCCGCACAAGCGGUGGAUGAUGUGGAUUAAUUCGAUGCAACGCGAAAAAACCUUACCUACCCUUGACAUGUACGGAAGUCUGCUGAGAGGCGGAUGUGCUCGAAAGAGAACCGUAACACAGGUGCUGCAUGGCUGUCGUCAGCUCGUGUCGUGAGAUGUUGGGUUAAGUCCCGCAACGAGCGCAACCCUUGGUCCUUAGUUGCUACGCAAGAGCACUCUAAGGGAACUGGCCGGUGACAAACCGGAAGGAAGGUGGGGGAUGAACGUCCAAGUCCUCCAUGGGCCCUUUAUGGGGUAGGGGUUUCCCCCCGUCCAUAACAAUGGGUCCGGGUCCAAAGAGGGCUGGCCCAAACCCGCGAGGGUGGGAGCUUAACCCCGAAAACCGAUCGUAGUCCGGAUCGCAGUCUGCAACUCGACUGCGUGAAGCUGGAAUCGCUAGUAAUCGCGGAUCAGCAUGUCGCGGUGAAUACGUUCCCGGGUCUUGUACACACCGCCCGUCACACCAUGGGAGUGGGUUUUGCCAGAAGUAGGUAGCCUAACCGUAAGGAGGGCGCUACCAUAGUCAUGAUGCUGCUGGC